rnacentral:rRNA from 1 species
GUCGAGCGGUGAAGCAGAGCUUGCUCUGUGGAUCAGUGGCGAACGGGUGAGUAACACGUGAGCAAUCUGCCCCUGACUCUGGGAUAAGCGCUGGAAACGGCGUCUAAUACCGGAUACGAGCUGCGACCGCAUGGUCAGUAGCUGGAAAGAAUUUCGGUCAGGGAUGAGCUCGCGGCCUAUCAGCUUGUUGGUGAGGUAAUGGCUCACCAAGGCGUCGACGGGUAGCCGGCCUGAGAGGGUGACCGGCCACACUGGGACUGAGACACGGCCCAGACUCCUACGGGAGGCAGCAGUGGGGAAUAUUGCACAAUGGGCGCAAGCCUGAUGCAGCAACGCCGCGUGAGGGAUGACGGCCUUCGGGUUGUAAACCUCUUUUAGCAGGGAAGAAGCGAAAGUGACGGUACCUGCAGAAAAAGCGCCGGCUAACUACGUGCCAGCAGCCGCGGUAAUACGUAGGGCGCAAGCGUUAUCCGGAAUUAUUGGGCGUAAAGAGCUCGUAGGCGGUCUGUCGCGUCUGCUGUGAAAACCCGAGGCUCAACCUCGGGCCUGCAGUGGGUACGGGCAGACUAGAGUGCGGUAGGGGAGAUUGGAAUUCCUGGUGUAGCGGUGGAAUGCGCAGAUAUCAGGAGGAACACCGAUGGCGAAGGCAGAUCUCUGGGCCGUAACUGACGCUGAGGAGCGAAAGGGUGGGGAGCAAACAGGCUUAGAUACCCUGGUAGUCCACCCCGUAAACGUUGGGAACUAGUUG